GCCAUUUUUCUUUUUUUUCUUGGUCGGCGUGUGCGCCACGUGUGUGUCGUGAGCUCUAAGCACGUGAGUGUGUGUUGUCAUCUGCUGCUGCGCGAUAAGGAACAUUUUGUCAAGAGCGUACAAGACGAAAAGCGGGAUGUAUCUAUAUACCGUCCGUGCAUUGGCUGACGCGGAGGUAUGCUACCGACUCGGCUGCGUGGACGCGGGCACGAAGAAAGGAGCGCCGACUGACCAACGAUACUUUGACUGCGCAUGUGUGCCACUCAAGUGCAACAGUUCACGAGGUAUCCCAGGCCCCGAAAGAAGUUGGAAGAAGAUGCAAGCGCAGCAUGCCAAUGUUGUUGAAUAUGCCAGCACGAAGUUUCCAGGCGCAAGUGUUUCUUAUAUAAAAGAAAGCCUAUUCUCUCCCCUCACAAGGGAAAUAAAAUCACUAUAUAAAAAUGCCUUUUCAUGUGCCUUUUUUGUUUUCCUGUUGGCUGCAGUUAAUAUUCAGCCUCAGUGAGCCAAAUCUUGCUACUUUAGACCUUAGUGAGAUAUAUCCCAGUACAAUGAAAAUACAAUGAAAAUUCAUCUCGAUCUAAAUCCAAUGAAUAUACAAUAACGAACCAAUGG